rnacentral:rRNA from 1 species
UACAGAGGUCUCAAGCGUUGUUCGGAUUUAUUGGGCGUAAAGGGUGCGUAGGCGGCGAUGUAAGUCAGGUGUGAAAUCUUGGGGCUUAACCCCAACAAGCAUUCGAUACUGCAUUGCUAGAGGACUGGAUGCGAGAUUGGAAUUCACGGUGUAGCAGUGAAAUGCGUAGAUAUCGUGAGGAAGGCCAGUGGCGAAAGCGAAUCUCUGGACAGUUCCUGACGCUGAGGCACGAAGGCUAGGGGAGCAAACG